UUACGGCCAUAUCAUAUCGAAACACCCGUUCCCGUACGAUCACUGAAGUUAAGCAAAGUCGAUCCUGAUCAGUACCUAGAUGGAAGACCACUACGGAAUAUCAGGUGCUGUAA